UCUUGUGCCAGUCUCACUCUCUGCACCCUCUACACUUCCAGGAGGAAAAAUUGCCAGAAACUGCCCCAGGAGUGUCUGUCCCUUUGUAUACUGAGGGAGAUGAGCACACCUGCAGAAUUAAUGGGCUGUGAUGACAUCCCAGUGACCCUGAGAAAGUUACUGAUACCCUUAGAGACAACAGAGCAGGAUGACAGACAAGAUACUUGAAAUACCUGAAUCCUGCUCUGGCAGUUCCUGAUCUGCAGCAAGGCUCAGUUCAGAGGCAAACUCACAUCAACCAGUCUGCAACUUCCCCUCCCAAGCUGAGCAGAAGGGGAAAACUGAUAUGGAUCUCGUGUCAGCUGCUGUCUGCAGCCAGCCCUAAGGAGCUGAGAUGGAAGGGAAGUGCCAUCUUAUACUCUCUCCCUGCAGCCAGAGUUAACAGAAGAUGUGCUUUGAUGCAGCUUUAUUGAGAGAAGGGGACAAACUCCUGAGAAUUAUAGAAGAUCAGAGGUUCUGAAUAGAGAAGAAAUUCCCAGUUGUACUUGUGGCCCCACAGGGCCCUGAUAUGCAGGGGUGUGCUCUGUCCCUGUCAUGGGCUGCAGGGUGCCUGCAUUUGAGGAAACCCUAGAGGGAUUUCCAGCCUGGAAGGUCUGGACAUGCACAUGGGCUGGAGGAAGGGUGUUCAUACACACCAGAGUGUGUGUCACCUGUGGUGGGCUGAUCCUGGCUGGACACCAGGUGCCCGAGAAGCUGCUCUGUCACUGCCCUCCUCAGCUGGACAAAGGAGAGAGAAGAGAAUGAAAGGUGUGGUGUUAAAUCUCACAAACCUUUCAUGUGAUUCUGCUGAGAUGCUGGCAAGCCCAAGGACUGCUGAGAAGCAGACAUCUCAGCAUCAUGAAGCCAACUGAAGUUCCCUGAAUGCCUCAUCUAAACCAGACAGAUCUACCUCUUCCAAGCCUUCCAAAAGAGGUAUGUACAGUACUCACAACUCUGCAGGAACCCCAGAGCCUCCCUGCCUUUUCCUGUGGGACACGUGAAGGGCAGGGGGCUCUGAGCCUGGCCAAGACAGGAACAGGAGCCCUCUGCAGAGCCCAGCCAUGAUCACCCACACAUCACCUGGGGAGCCAUCACUCUGCACAAACUGAGCCAACUGCAAACUGCUCCUGACAGCUUAAUUUCUCCUGGGGAUGUCUUUAAUGGACAGGCUCUGCAUAUCUCUUAUUGACUUUUAUGAAAAGCUUCACACUUCUUUUUGUCUUAUAGUGGCAAGCUUGGAAAGUAUAAUAGAGGGACAAAACCAUUCAGAUUAAAAAAAAAUGGAGAAUCUUUUGUAGAUAAUUAUUUUUUUGCAGUUAAACACAAAGCUUAAAAAUGAAAGUGCAAGUACAAGCCCACAAAAACCAGGGGCUUGAAGAAACAGAGCAGUAGGCUGAUAUAAUUCCCAUUUACACAUCAAUAUUUUUUCUGGACUUCUGAUGACACACUGAUGAUGACACUCAAAAAGAAGAUAGUGAAACAGACCAAAAAUCCCUGGCUGUGGAAGAGAAGAUUUGUUUUUUGCGGUCAAAGUUUCAUUUAUGCACCUGCCAUGGAAUAUGGGUGCAGGAGCUCCACAAGCAGUGGAGCUCAGUUUUGUGGCCAUGGUCCUCACUCAGGCCAACAGUACACUUCAAUAGAUGGGGCUGCAUUUCAUGAGAUCCUCUUUUUAGAUCAUAAGAAAACAUCAUCUAAGUGAACAGGAUUUGGUUUCCAACCAGAGAUUCCAUUAUGUUCAAUCAAAAUUGCAGUUUACCUGGUUACAGGAAAAGCAUGAAUAAAAUUCCCAUUCAGCCUUGCAUUACCUUUCCAGGAAUACUGUAAGUGCCAUGUUCUAAAUGUGAAGUUUAUUUCCCCCAGAUUUUGAUGUGUUGGUAUUUUCUCACAAAUCAUAUACUUGGAGUUGGGCAGAGACCAGAGGAUGUGAUGAUGAGAUAAAAUUCCUGAGGAAAGAAAGGGUUUUUUCCACUUAGGGGCUUUUAUAUAUCUUUUUCUGCACUAUUUUUGGAAGAGAAAAACAGAACUUGUAGGGUUUUGCCACAGUUGUGGCCUGUUUGUAGAACUCUUUCCCAGAUCAUUCUAUUAACUGUUUUAUGUAAUUAAUAACACAUUCACGUUAGAGUUGAAAUCUAGUUUUUGCUUUUGUGGCAGGAAUUUAUCAGCAUGUUGUUUUUUUUUAUCUAAUCCGCUUCUCUGAGAUAUUUUUUCAGUAUUCUCAGGGGCUUAUAUAAGGUGAAACUCUAUCAAAUAGGUCAAAACCCUUUUUUUUCCCUGUAACUACUUUUAAGCUUGAUUCUGCACAAUUUUAUGUAAGUAGCCCUGGAAGAUGAUAUGAAUUUUUGUCAGAGGCUUUCUUUUCUGAAGUUGUGUCUGUAACCACAAAAAGUUUCCAAAUUAAUAUCCAUGUUUACUCCCAAAGCAGUCACAUGAGUAACUCCUUAUGGCAUUUUAUGACUGUGCUACAUUUAUGUAAAUUAUUGAAUAUUCAGUUUAAUAACAGAAAAUAAAGCACUUUCAAGGACACAGCUCAGAAAAAGAGGCCCAGGUUCUUAAAGAUGACUGAAUUUCCCACCCCUAUGAAGACACAGAACAGGAUGGAAUUAACCAAUCUGAAAGAACCCUUCUUUAUAACUCUCUGGAUAUAAAGAUUUAAACUCUCUAAAAGGAAUUCUUUUACCAAGUCUCUUAGGUGUUUAUACUGCUUCAAGAAAUGACCUUGCAUUGGGAUCUCAGCUUCCAUUUGGCUGCUUCCAGCACUCAAGCUCAUUUGCCCUGAUGCAGAGAGAACUGCACUCC